CAACAGAUCCAUCACCAAAGUCAAGCAUCAUUGGGCGCGGUCAGUACUUGGGUGGGUGACUACCUGGGAACACCGCGUGCCGUUG